rnacentral:rRNA from 1 species
GACGAACGCUGGCGGCGUGCUUAACACAUGCAAGUCGAACGAAGUGGCGAACGGGUGAGUAACGCAUAAUCAACCUGCCCUUCAGAGGGGGACAACAGUUGGAAACGACUGCUAAUACCGCAUACUGAAGGAGGGGAUUGCGUCUGAUUAGCUAGUUGGCGGGGUAACGGCCCACCAGGGCGAUGAGAAGUAACCGGGUUGGGGAGAAGAACGGCCAAAUUGGGACCGAGGACAGGCCCAGAACCCUAAGGGGGGCAGCAGGGGGGAAUCAUCCGCAAUGGGCGAAAGGCUGACGGAGCAACGCCGCGGGGUAGGUGACGGCCUUUGGGGUGGAAAGCUCUGUUAAUCGGGACGCGGUACCGGAAUAGAAAGCCACGGCUAACUACGUGCCAGCAGCCGCGGUAAUAC